rnacentral:rRNA from 1 species
GACGAACGCUGGCGGCGUGCCUAAUACAUGCAAGUAGAAGCUAGUUGCGAACGGGUGCGUAACGCGUAGGAACCUUCCUCAUAGCGGGGGAUAACUACGCGAAAGCGUAGCUAAUACCUCAUACUAUUGGUUCGGCUGAUCUCGGAUUAGCUAGUUGGUGGGGUAACGGCUCACAAGGGCGACCAUCCGUAGCUGGUUUGAGAGGACGACCAGCAAAACUGGGACUGAGACACGGCCCAGACUCCUACGGGAGGCAGCAGUGGGGAAUUUUGGACAAUGGGGGAAACCCUGAUCCAGCAAUGCCGCGUGUGCGAUGAAGGCCUUCGGGUUGUAAAGCACUUUUGGCAGGAAAGCGGUACCUGAAGAAUAAGCACCGGCUAACUACGUGCCAGCAGCCGCGGUAAUUC